GCUUGAGCACAGCUGGGUGGGAGGGUUCUACAUGGAAAUUCAGGGGUCCCCAGGCCUAACCUCCGUGGGUGUGGCCAGCACUCGCCUCUCCUUCCACUUCCGGUGUAAACUGAGUCACGACCACCCACCAGUGCCCACCCUCGGCUCCUCCCCUUCCCCCAUCAGCCCCUGCACCACCCACCCUGCUCUCUCCACCCCACGCCCCGAAGUGCAGGACCAGCGCAGACGGAAACAGAAAGCAGCAACUGCAGGCUAAGCGCGCUUUACUGAGCAUAUACAACAGCACACAGGAAGCAAAGAACCCCGUCCAUUCAAAUGAAGGGCUAACUGGGGAAGCGGCUGCCUGAUUUCGCAUCCUGCACCCAUGAUAGGAAAGAAGUUCUCAGGGUGUGUGUGGGCGGCACAGGGAGUGUCGCCUGGGGCUCGGGGUCCCCUUCUGCAAUGGAAGUAACAUCCACGGUAUCACCUGGAACCAACUCUUCCCGGGAUGCACAGCCCUGAGCCGCAAUGUUUUGGUCAACAACGGAACAGACGGAUGACUUUGCAGCCGCCGCAGUUUGUGUAAGGACAGGCCCCGGGUCUGCACCACGAUGAAACUGCCACUCCUCAGAGAGCGUCCUGCUCCUCCAGCACCGCGAGGGCUGACUGAACUGGAGUGGUCGGGGGCGCUGCUCACCGGGUGUGCCGUACAGGCUGCUCCAUGCCUUCGUGCCUUUUCUUGGUCCACACAGCAAGCUGCAACCCAGAGCGACUGACGGCAAUGAAAGAAAUGAUCAUGAAACACAUGGGGUCCGCCCAUGUUCACAUCUUUUCUUCUUACACAUGACUUCGCUGGGAGCUCGCGUGCAGCAGAUAUUCCCAAAGCACUGACCGGAAGCUGGCACUCUUAGCUCCUGAGGCCACUUUCCGUUCACACUCCUCAUUUCACAGAACCCGCUCAUGCAGGGUUACUUGGGCCUGGCACCAGGACAUGGAUGGAGGAGCCGGCCUGGGUCUUCUGGAAAAGUGUUUCAUGGUUCUCAGACAUUUCCCUAAGUCUGCCUGAGAGAUCUUCUCUCUAAUACAGGAGCAAAGCAGUGAUAAGGGUCAGGCAGAAGGGAGGGAACUAGAACCCCAACAUUCACUAGCCUGGGUCAUCAGGACAAGAGACAUCCUUGUCAGAUUUCUGCUUCCAGUGCUACGUGAGAGGCUUUGAAAUAAUGGAGUCAGAGGCAGUUCUAGGCUCCUUUUUUGGGCAACUUGGGGUCCAACAUUACCGGCUGUCACCUGCCAUCCUGGUGGGCAGAACAGAGGGCGGGCCUCUGUUGACCACGCCUAGAAGGACACUACAAAUGUUUUGUCCCACGGGUGAGCAAGAAAAUAGAGCAGGAAGAGCAGGAAAUCACUGUCCCCACACUGCUGCGCUGUCUACUGUGAAGGGCUGAACGCGUUCCCGGGUCACCAGACGACAGCCACUUGGAGCUGCUUCCAUCCCUUGUGAAGCCAAGCUCAUCUACCAAGCACCUCCCAGCUUCUGUGAGCACCAUGCACCUUCCUUGGACUGGAAAAUGAUUUGGAAAAGGGGGACUGGCUCUUCCACUAAUACGUCCUUGAUCAGGAAGGGUCUGGUGUGUUAGCCCUGAACCAGCAACCCAGUUUAAUUCCUUACUUUAUUUGUUUAAAAAUGGAACUUGUAGCAAAAGUGGACAUGCUGUCCAGAAAAGAGCAAUAAGAAAAUAAUUGUCACUUUAUGGUACAAGUCACGCUGAUGGCAGGCAGUGAAUUUAGGGUUAGGGCUACUGGGGAAGGCCGCUUCUCUGUAGAUAACAAAUUAGCAUCUGAUUUAGAGACAUUUUCUUUAAAUCAUCUAGUUGGUUUUCCUUGCCAGACCCUGUACUUUGGGUAUUCUUUUUAUUUAUUUUUAUUUAAGUUCUAUCAUUUGACCUGAAGAGAAUGAUACUCUACGAACAAGUAUGGCUUCCUUGGGACUCUUUCUGAGUUGCUUUAUUUAUAUAACACUGCAUUUAUUUAUUUACUUAUCCUGCUGGAGGUUGAACCCAGGGCUUCACAGUGAGCUAUAUCCUCUGUCAUUUUUAUCAUUUUUAAAUUUUGAGACAGAGUCUUGCUAGGUUGUCAAAUUGCCCGGGCUCAAUUUUUUGAGCCUUUGUGAUCUUCCUAUUAUCUUUCUUUUUAAAGGAAGAAUUUCCAAGUUUGUUAUAAGAUGAGAGGUAGUGAUUGGAAUCCACUGUGAGCCACUGGUUGGCAUUUCCCAGGUUUGAUGCAUUUCGAUCUGACCCGUUAUCCACCAUGAGUCCAUGUCAAAACAGUCACAGAACCCUGUGCUCCACACCCUUCUGCUUCAG
rnacentral:lncRNA from 1 species